UAGGGAAUAUUGGGCAAUGGAGGGAACUCUGACCCAGCCAUGCCGCGUGCAGGAUGAAGGCGUUAUGCGUUGUAAACUGCUUUUAUAUAGGAAGAAAUAGUCCUUGCGAGGAAAGUUGACGGUACUAUAUGAAUAAGCACCGGCUAACUCCGUGCCAGCAGCCGCGGUAAUACGGAGGGUGCAAGCGUUGUCCGGAUUUAUUGGGUUUAAAGGGUGCGUAGGUGGUUUAUUAAGUCAGUGGUGAAAGACGGUCGCUCAACGAUUGCAGUGCCAUUGAUACUGGUAGACCUGAGUAUGAUUGAGGUAGCUGGAAUGGAUAGUGUAGCGGUGAAAUGCAUAGAUAUUAUCCAGAACACCAAUUGCGUAGGCAAGUUACUAAGUCAUAACUGACGCUGAGGCACGAAAGUGUGGGUAUCAAACAGGAUUAGAUACCCAUGUAGUCCCUGAGCGGGCUGGCAAGGCGCAU
rnacentral:rRNA from 1 species